GUCCAUGCCGUAAACGUUGGAACUAGGUGUGGGCCUCAUUCCCACGAGGUCCGUGCCGCAGCUAACGCAUUAAGUUCCCCGCCUGGGGAGUACGGCCGCAAGGCUAAACUCAAAGGAAUUGACGGGGCCCGCACAAGCGGCGGAGCAUGCGGAUUAAUUCGAUGCAACGCGAAGAACCUUACCAAGGCUUGACAUAUACCGGAAAAGUGCAGAGAUGUGCUCCCCGCAAUGUCGGUAUACAGGUGGUGCAUGGUUGUCGU
rnacentral:rRNA from 1 species